rnacentral:lncRNA from 1 species
GUCGCUAAGAAUUUUAACAUGUGUAAGUUUCUCCAUAGUCUUCAUUUGAAUCAUCUUCUAGUGUACAUAGUGGUAUUUCUUUACAGAGGGAGUAAUUACAUAUGGACACACUUUCUUUUCGAAUAGAUUUGCCUGCAGUUUUUGGAAAUUCAUAAAAUAACGACAAUUAUUUAACACAUGUAGAAGAUGAGAAGUGAAAUACCUGAUCAUUGAGAAGUUUGUUCUCUGUAACCUUUUUUGCUUCAUUCGUCACUUCUGUUCCUUGGAUUUCUAGUUUGCUUUAUAAAGAAAAUACUUGCAUACUUUUGGUGAACUAUUUGCACUUGUUUUCCAAUAUGGAUCCUGCUGGAGGUGGCUUGAUUUCGUGUAGAAGAUGGUACCUGCUAGAGGUGGUGUUGUCGCUAGAUGGAACUAAUGAUGUAGGUUGCGUCAUUGCUGGCUAGAGUUGAUCGGACAAUCCUCAAUAUUAUGUAUAAUGUCCUACAAGCUCAAUAGUACUUUGUGGAACUAAAACUAAGAGCAUCUCCAGCCACGCCCUCAACAAGGCCCCCGAGGCGAUUUUUCGGCCGCCGGCGCCAAAAAAUCGGCCCAGUCACGCCCCCAGGGGCCUUUUUCGCUGGCUCGGGCCGAAAUUGGCGCUGGCGGACCCAACCCGAACCCGGCGCGCUGGGGGGGCUCGGGGGCACCGGGCGAAUCGUUUUUGGCGCGAAAGCGCCGCGGGCCAGCCACGUCAGCGACACCGCCCGCCUCGUCUUCUCCCGACGCCUCGGUUUCCCGCGGGGAAUCAAUGGCAAGGCUGCCGCCGGUCAGCUUUGCCAUUGAUCCCUCACGGGCGGCGCGUUCACGGGGCGGCGCGCCGACGCCUCCCCUCCCUCGGACGCGUACACACGGACGCGGCGCGGCUAUAUAUGGCCUCGCUCGCCUGUGAUGAGUGCCACCUCUCCACCUCUCCCGAGCGCCGCCGCCGAGCUCUUCUCCCCCAGCCCUCCCUCUCCCGAGCGCCGCCGACGAUCACUUCUCCCCCAGCCACUCCAUCUCCCAAGCGCCGCCGCCGAUCUCUUCUCCCCAGCCACUCCAUCUCCCCGAUGGCCGAGCGUUUGCCCGGAAACGAGGCGGCGGCCAACGGCUUCGGCAGCCGUUCGCUCCGCGAACAGGAGUCCUGGCUCCUGUUCCAGGCGAACAUCCCGGCGCCGCCGGACAUGCGCGCCGGGCCGACGGGCUGGAGGCUCAGCAAUGGGGGAGUGCCCAUUCCCCCGUUGCCCGACGCCGUGACCAAACCAUCCUACUUCGCCGAUGAGGUCGAGAUCGUGCGCGCCUCCCUCAACGACGCCGAGCUCUCCCUCCCUCAGUACGCCGCCGACAACCAUGCGGCUUGGGCGGCGUACUUCGAGCGCCGCCAGCAGCAGCGGCUGGCGUCCACCAACGGGGCGCCGGUGGUCGGCGGCGUGAAGAACAGCGAGGGGCGCCACCUGUGCGGCCGCACACUUGAGAACAGCAAGUAUUUUUUGAUUAGUUUUUAUAUGUAAUGGCGACUACUCGAUUUAAAUCCGCGAAUAUAAGCCCAAGUUUUUCCAAAAUUUGGCGUGUUUUAGCCGAACUUUGCGUAAAUUUGAUACACAAUUUUUUUCCCGCGCCUGGGGCCGGCCCUGGGGCCGGCGGCUGGGGGCCAACUCGCCCCAGGCCCAUUUUUUUCGCCGGGUCACCCCCAGGCGGCGAUUUUAGGCGCCCCCUAGGGGCCAACGGCUGGAGAUGCUCGAAGUGGCUUGCCGAAUUCGAGCUUAAAUUUGUUAGUUAGGCAUAUUUUGGCAACCCAAAUAUAAACUUAUAUAUGUGCUAUUAAUUAGAACAAUGGGAUUCAUGAAAAGAACGGGUGGAUAUGAACUUUUAGGUGUGCUACAGAGUAUUAUUAUUAAUUAAAGAAUAGAACAGUUCUUGGAAAAAAAGAGGCGUUGCUUGCAAAGAGCGGUAGUAUAGGUUUUAGAGAGUCAAUACCUGCCUUGGCUUUGGUUGCCGCUAACGCUGCAUAGUGCAAGAACAAUUCCAAUGGAGAUGGUGGCUGUGCUAGAGCAUCCCAGUUCUUUUUUACUGAUCCGUCAGGUCUAACACCUAUGGCUGCUUGUCAGGUCCAACAUCCGCAUCGAGCAGCAGUGUGUCAGUUCGAUGGGAAAAGUCGGUUUUUAGUCCCUCAUGGAGGCCAUGCAGUUUAUGGCGUAUGUCUGUGUCCAGGCCGGUGCUUUGUGGACAGACCUUCAAAAUUCAGGACAUCUUAAAGGAGAAAGGUAGGGUUCUCUUGAGGAAGUUUGGGUGCCUCGGUGUAGCAGGAAUUGCUGAGUAUAUCUUGAAGGAGAUCUUUCUUUCUGGUAAAGUAUGUUUUAUUUAUGUAGAUGUCCAUCUGUACUAUAAUCUGGUAGUAAUAGUUUCAUUCUCGGAUGCAUGUUCUGCUUUCAUGUAAGAUGUAACAUCAGAUUGAAUUGAAAAGGGAAAUAAACAUGGCGCUUCAUGAACUUCUAUACGUUCUACUUGUAUACGUUCUACAGGACUAAUUAAAAGUACAAAAUAGCUAUGGAGAAAAAAUAAGGACAUGCAUGCAAAGAGCAGUAUAGCUGUGCGUUGGAUAGCUUGGGAGAAUCAAUCAACCUGCCUCUACUUCAGUCGUCGCUAACGCAUGCCCGUGGGAUCUACCUGGGAUGUCUGGCCGAUUCCUUCUGCAUGGAUGUGACGCCGUAGCGGGACAACGACGAUCCCUACGGAGAACGCAGCUGGCGGCCGCUGACAGCGCUAGGUUAUCACAUUUUUUUACUCUGAUCAAAG